rnacentral:rRNA from 1 species
GAUGAACGCUGGCGGCGUGCCUAAUACAUGCAAGUCGAGCGAAUGGAUUAAGAGCUUGCUCUUAUGAAGUUAGCGGCGGACGGGUGAGUAACACGUGGGUAACCUGCCCAUAAGACUGGGAUAACUUCGGGAAACCGGGGCCAAUACCGGAUAACAUUGUGAACCGCAUGGUUCGAAAUUGAAAGGCGGCUCAGGCUGCCACUUAUGCAUGGACCCGCGUCGCAUUAGGUAGUUGGUGAGGUAACGGCUCACCAAGGCAACGAUGCGUAGCCGACCUGAGAGGGUGAUCGGCCACACUGGGACUGAGACACGGCCCAGACUCCUACGGGAGGCAGCAGUAGGGAAUCUUCCGCAAUGGACGAAAGUCUGACGGAGCAACGCCGCGUGAGUGAUGAAGGCUUUCGGGUCGUAAAACUCUGUUGUUAGGGAAGAACAAGUGCUAGUUGAAUAAGCUGGCACCUUGACGGUACCUAACCAGAAAGCCACGGCUAACUACGUGCCAGCAGCCGCGGUAA